UCAGAAUGCUGCACUCACCUGUCCAGGUGGUGAGGAAAGUUUUGGGUGCAGGCUGUUCUCUUCCUGAUGACAUCACUGAUGAUGUCACCGCCGGCCAGUCCUCUCGGGAUGGAGGAAACAUGUUUUAUCUGGUGAUGCCCAAAGAUCAGUGGAGCGCUCUCACAGGACAUUGAAGCUGAUUACUACAAACUCCUAAAGAAAUGAAGAAAACCUCUUCCUGUGGAUAAAAUGUCAAGCGAUCUGGUCUACAAGCCUCCCACAGCGGUCCGAAUGCCGUCACUGGACCGCGGAGCCGGAGAUGGUAAAGAGGGCGUCUCAACAGAACCAGCUCAGCCAGAAAUCCAGUCCACUGGUUUCUGACGGUUUACACUGGACCUGAUCUCACACACACAGACUCGUGCAAACACACUUUAUGAUGUAGCCCCUUCCCAGCAUGCCUUGCGCCUGGAACCUAAUAUGUCUUGUGUGUGUGUCAAUCAGAAAUUCGUGACUUGGGACGGACGACCCUUCGGCCAGCGCUGAGAAAGGAGGAAAAAGAAAGUAGUUGCGCAUUCGAAAGUGAAUUGCGAAGAACGUCACUGCGAAGCGGUGCACAAAGAACAGGAAGUGAAAAACGCAAGUGGAAGUGAACUAGCACAGCUGAAGACAUGACUCUGUCCCGCGAAGGAAACCCAGCACUUUACCUGCUGUUCGUCUGUUUCUCGUCAGGAAACUCGCGAAUACAAACGGGCGACGUUUCGGCUGCGCAUAUCGUGAGCCGCGUCCGUUUACAGAUGGACAGCGUCAACAAUUUCAUGUUCUUUUGCACAGGGACCCCUGUGGAAAUAAACACGGCGGGGGGCGAAUAAGGAUGUCUCACGAAUAUCAUUGUUCGUCCGUUAAUAUCAUAGCUUGUAUUUCAUUGUGUAACACUGUGCGAAAAAAAAAAAAAGGAAAACGAAAAAAGGUGCAGGUUUUAUUUUGAAGAUUUGCGCUCAGUUAUCAAAUGAACAUUUGUUUGGUUUCUACUCACAGUUUAACACUAUCGCACACA